GACGAACGCUGGCGGCGUGCUUAACACAUGCAAGUCGAACGGACAGGCCCUGCUUUUGUGGUGUGCUCGAGUGGCGAACGGGUGUUUCACACGUGAGUCACCUGCCCUUGACUUUGGGAUAACUUCAGGAAACUGGGGCUACUCCCCUAUCGGAGCUCCUGCUGCAUGGUGGGGUUUGGCACGUUUCGGCGGUUGGGGUUGGACUCGCGGCUUAUCUGCUUGCUGGUGGGGUAGUGCCUUACCAAGGCUUUGACGGAUACCCGGCCAGAGAGGGUGACCGGCCAAAGGGGGAGUGGGAAACGAACCGGACAACUACGGGAGGCAGAAGUGGGGAAUAUUGCACAAUGGGCGGAAGAGUGAUGGAGCAACGCCGCGUGCGGGAAGAAGGACUUUGGGUUGGAAACAGCUUUCGACGGUGAGGAAGAGUGAGUGAAGGUAAUGGGUAAAGAAGGAGAGGCUAACUACGUG
rnacentral:rRNA from 1 species